UACGUAGGGGGCGAGCGUUGUCCGGAUUUAUUGGGCGUAAAGAGCUCGUAGGCGGUUUGGUAAGUUGGAUGUGAAAUCUCCAGGCUCAACUUGGAGGGGUCAUUCGAUACUGCCAUGACUAGAGUUCGGUAGGGGAGUGUGGAAUUCCUGGUGGAGCGGUGAAAUGCGCAGAUAUCAGGAGGAACACCGGUGGCGAAGGCGGGUCUCUGGGCCGUAACUGACGCUGAGGAGCGAAAGCAUGGGGAGCGAACAGG
rnacentral:rRNA from 1 species